AGCUUUAUAGUGGAAAUCUAAGACGUUAGAUUGCAAAUCUAAAAAUGUGCAUGAAGUACUAAAGCUU
rnacentral:tRNA from 2 species